GCCCAAGGCGCAAAAUCAUAACGGUCGAACGGAAUCCAUUAUCAUAACCUCCAAACAGAUAGCCGUUUAUUCCCGUCUUUUCUACGCGUAAUCCACCUUUUUUGAGGAUUUGAUGGCAGAACAUGGAUUGAAGUUAAAGGACAUUAUGAUAGAGAUAGUAAAAUGUGCUCGAGUUGAAAGCCAGAAAAGAAAGAAGUUUGAGGUAUAAGGAAUGUGUCAAUGCGUAAAUC